AUGGACCAGUACUGCAUCUUGGGUCGCAUCAGGGAGGGUGCCCACGGCAUUGUCUUCAAGGUCAAGCACGGGGACACUGGAGAGAUAGUUGCCCUCAAGAAGGUAGCCCUAAGGCGGCUGGAGGAUGGCAUCCCCAGCCAGGCCCCGUGGGAGAUCAAGGCUCUGCAGGAGAUUGAAGACAAUCAGUAUGUGGUGAAGCUGAAGGCUGUGUUCCCACAUGGUGCUGGCUUCAUGCUAGCCUUUGAGUUCAUGCUGUCUGAUCUAGCUGAGGUGGUGUGCCAUGCACACAGGCCACUGACCCAGGUCCAGGUCAAGAGCUAUCUUCAGAUGCUGCUCAAGGUGUUGCCUUCUGCCACGCCAACAACGUUGUUCAUCAAGACCUGAAACCAGCCAACCUGCUUAUCAGCACCUCAGGCCAGCUCAAGAUAGCAGACUUUGGCCUGGCACAUGUCUUUUCCCCAGAUGGCAACCGCCUCUAUACCCACCAGGUGGCCACCAGAUGGUACCGAGCCCCUGAGAUCCUGUAUGGUGCCCGGCAGUAUGAUCAGGGUGUCGACCUGUGGGCCGUGGGAUGCAUCAUGGGAGAACUAUUGAAUGGAUCUCCCCUUUUCCCUGGAGAGAAUGACAUUGAACAGCUUUGUUGUGUGCUUCGAGUCUUGGGCACCCCCAGCCCUCAAGUCUGGCCUGACUACAACAAGAUCUCCUUUAAGGACCAGGCACCUGAGCCCCUGGAGGAGGUGUUGCCUGAUGCUUCUCCCCAAGCCUUGGACCUGCUCAGUCAGUUUCUGCUCUCAGCGCAUCAUGGCCUCCCAGGCCUUUCUGCACCAGUACUUCUUCACAGCCCCCCUGCCUGCCCAUCCUUCAGAGCUGCCGAUUCCCCAGCGCCCAGGGGGCCUUGCUCCCUAGGCCCACCCAGGACCCCCCCAUGUUCAUGACUUCCAUGUGGACUGGCCUCUUGAGGAGUCGCUGUUGAACCCGAAGCUGAUUCAGCCCUUUAUCCUAGAGGGGUGA